rnacentral:rRNA from 1 species
AGAGUUUGAUCCUGGCUCAGGAUGAACGCUGGCGGCGUGCUUAACACAUGCAAGUCGAACGGGAACCGUUGGAUUCGUCUAGCGGGGAGAGUGGCGUACGGGUGAGUAACACGUUGGUGACCUGCCUCGAAGACGGGGAUAACCACUGGAAACGGUGGCUAAUACCCGAUAGUCUCGGUGAUUCGGUUCGCCGAGUAAAGCUCCGGCGCUUCGAGAGGGGCCUGCGGCCCAUCAGCUUGUUGGUAGGGUAACGGCCUACCAAGGCGAAGACGGGUAGGGGACGUGAGAGCGUGACCCCCCACACUGGCACUGAGACACGGGCCAGACUUCUACGGAAGGCAGCAGUGAGGAAUAUUGCCCAAUGGGCGAAAGCCUGAGGCAGCAACGCCGCGUGGGUGAUGAAGGUAUUCGUAUCGUAAAACCCUUUUCUGGGGGACGAGAAAGGACGGUACCCCAGGAAUAAGCCUCGGCUAACCAUGUGCCAGCAGCCGCGGUAACACAUAGGAGGCGAGCGUUAUCCGGAUUUACUGGGCGUAAAGUGCGUGGAGGCGGCUCUGUAAGUUGGACGUGAAAGCUCCUGGCCCAACUGGGAGAGGUCGUUCAAUACUGCAGGGCUUGAGGACAGCAGAGGGGGGUGGAAUUACCGGUGUAGUGGUGAAAUGCGUAGAUAUCGGUAGGAACACCAGUGGCGAAAGGCGGCCCCCUGSGCUGCUCCUGACGCUGAAAGGCGAAAGCUAGGGUAGCAAACGGGAUUAGAAACCCCGGUAGUCCUAGCCGUAAACGAUGGAUACUAGGUGUAGGGGGUGAAAACUCCCUCUGUGCCGAAGCUAACGCGUUAAGUAUCCCGCCUGGGGAUUACGGCCGCAAGGCUAAAACUCAAAGGAAUUGACGGGGACCCGCACAAGCAGCGGAGCGUGUGGUUUAAUUCGAUGCUACGCGAAGAACCUUACCAGGGCUUGACAUGCAGGUAGUAGUGAAGCGAAAGCGGAACGAUCCUUCGGGAAGCUUGCACAGGUGCUGCAUGGCUGUCGUCAGCUCGUGCCGUGAGGUGUUAGGUUAAGUCCUGUAACGAGCGCAACCCUUGCCGUUAGUUAUAUGUGUCUAGCGGGGCUGCCCGGUAAAACUGGGAGGAAGGUGGGGAUGACGUCAAGUCAGCAUGGCCUUUAUGUCCUGGGCUACACACACGCUACAGUGGCCGGUACAAUAGGUUGCCAAGCCGUGAGGCGGAGCCAAUCCUCAAAGCCGGUCUCAGUUCGGAUUGUAGGCUGCAACUCGCCUGCAUGAAGUUGGAGUUGCUAGUAACCGCAGGUCAGCCACACUGCGGUGAAUACGUUCCCGGGUCUUGUACACACCGCCCGUCACGUCAUGGGAGCUGGUAACACCUGAAGCCAGUGGACUAACCGUAAGGAGGUAACUGUCGAAGGUGGGACUGGUGACUGGGACGAAGUCGUAACAAGGUAGCUGUAGCGGAAGCUGCGGCUGGAUCACCUCC